CCAGACUCCUACGGGAGGCAGCAGUGGGGAAUAUUGCACAAUGGAGGAAACUCUGAUGCAGCGACGCCGCGUGAGUGAAGAAGUAAUUCGUUAUGUAAAGCUCUAUCAGCAGGGAAGAUAGUGACGGUACCUGACUAAGAAGCUCCGGCUAAAUACGUGC
rnacentral:rRNA from 1 species